AAUGAACGCUGGCGGCAGGCCUAACACAUGCAAGUCGAACGAAGCCUUCGGGCUUAGUGGCGGACGGGUGAGUAACGCGUGGGAACAUACCCAAAGGUACGGAAUAGUCCUGGGAAACUGGGGGUAAUACCGUAUGUGCCCUUCGGGGGAAAGGUUUAUCGCCUUUGGAUUGGCCCGCGUUGGAUUAGGUAGUUGGUGGGGUAAUGGCCUACCAAGCCGACGAUCCAUAGCUGGUUUGAGAGGAUGAUCAGCCACACUGGGACUGAGACACGGCCCAGACUCCUACGGGAGGCAGCAGUGGGGAAUCUUAGACAAUGGGCGCAAGCCUGAUCUAGCCAUGCCGCGUGAUCGAUGAAGGCCUUCGGGUUGUAAAGAUCUUUCAGAUGGGAAGAUAAUGACGGUACCAUCAGAAGAAGCCCCGGCUAACUCCGUGCCAGCAGCCGCGGUAAUACGGAGGGGGCUAGCGUUAUUCGGAAUUACUGGGCGUAAAGCGCACGUAGGCGGGUCGGCAAGUUAGGGGUGAAAUCCCGGGGCUCAACCCCGGAACUGCCCUUAAAACUGUUGGUCUUGAGUUCGAGAGAGGUGAGUGGAAUUCCGAGUGUAGAGGUGAAAUUCGUAGAUAUUCGGAGGAACACCAGUGGCGAAGGCGGCUCACUGGCUCGAUACUGACGCUGAGGUGCGAAAGCAUGGGGAGCAAACAGG
rnacentral:rRNA from 1 species